CCUACGGGCGGCAGCAGUGAGGAAUAUUGGUCAAUGGCCGGAAGGCUGAACCAGCCAUGCCGCGUGAAGGUCAGUGCCCUAUGGGCGUUAAACUUCUUUUGUGCGGGAGCAAUAAUGGUCACGUGUGGCCAGACGAGAGUACCGUACGAAUAAGCAUCGGCUAACUCCGUGCCAGCAGCCGCGGUAAUACGGGGGUGCAAGGGUUAUCCCGAUUUUUUGGGUUUUAAGGGUGCGUAGGCCGUGAGGUAAGUUAGCGGUGAAAUGCCCCCGCUCAACGGGGUGAAGUGCCAUUGGUACUGCCUUGCUGGAAUGCGGAUGCCGUGGGAGGAAUGUGUGGUGUAGCGGUGAAAUGCAUAGAUAUCACACAGAACACCGAUUGCGAAGGCAUCUCACGAAUCCGCGAUUGACGCUGAUGCACGAAAGCGUGGGUAUCAAACAGGAUUAGAUACCCCUGUAGUC
rnacentral:rRNA from 1 species